CCUUCAUACCUUCAUAUGUCACAGAAUAGAGGCCUGAGAAGUUCUCACAUCCAUUGUCUUUACCUGGGCUCACCCAAAAUUCAGGGAGCCUGAGGCUUUUGGCUUCUGUAUGGAAACUUAAGGGCGUGUGACCCCGGGGGAUGGAGCGAUGGACAGGAGAGUGAAGCUGGAGAAAGGAGGACUGAUGGCAGAUAGCACUGGUGGAGAGCCCUGGGCCCCAGUUCCCAGAAGCUGCACAAACUCAUCCUGGGGGAGGUGGGAGGAGACUUUGUCCCGGUGCUCCUGCCUCCUGCCUCUCUGGUGGUGAUGUGUGGUGCCCAGGCAGGGCGUGCUCCACGGGCACGCGCACAGAGCUGUCUGCAGACAGAGGCGCCUGGAGCAGGAUGCAGGGUCAGUAGGUUUCAUGCUGCCUGGACUUUCCAAAAAGGAUGUUUGCUGACGGGAUGGCUUGUUGGAGGAGGAAGAUUCUGUAGAAAUUCAGUUCCCUUGUAUGUUCCCAGCCUCUGGCAGGAGUUGGGGAUAAAAUUGAGCCCGUGGUACAAUGGGGAGACAGGUCGGGGAAAAGGGUCAUGAGCCAAGAAAUGCAGGCAGCCUCUAGAAGCUGGGAAGAGCAAGGAUGUAGAUUCUCCUCAUCCUCCAGAAGGAGCACAGCCUUGCUGACACUUCAAUUUUAGCCCAGUGACGUCCGUGUCUGACUGCUGAACUGUUACAGAACUGUGAGGUGCUAAGAAGAAAAUAAACAGAGAACGUCUUGCAGUGGGCAGCCAUUUCAGGAGGUAAAUGCCGGGGGGUGGUGUUUGAACAGUGACGGAAGGACAUGAAGAAGCGAGCGUGUGAAGGUGUGGAAGAAGUACAAUCCAUGCAGAAGAACCAGCAAGCCUUCUUUCCAUCUGGCAGUAUUAUGCAAGAUUCGGAACGAAUCUCCUCCUCCUCUCUUGCCUCUUCUCUUUUCUUUUAAAAAACCAAUUGAGAUUAUUAAAACCAAGAGGCCCCUAUCAAAGUUCUUUUACCCAAAAACUUUUGUCAAGUAGAACUCAUAUCUGGCUAAGUCACCUCCCACCUCCAGUCUCUUCAUCAGUCUCUUCAUCUGUCCAAUGUGAGGGUUGAUCCAGAUGCUCAGAGGGUUUUACGGGCAGAGGGGUAACGGGAUUUGUGUUGCUCAACCUGGGUUUGAAUCCUGGCUCUGCCAUUUCCUACCAAAGCAGUUGUGACAGUGUUUUCACCUCUCCGAGCCUCGGUAUCCUCAAAGCAGCCCUUUUGUGGUUGGAUGAAAUGCCCUGAGUCGAGCCUGGUAUCUGAAGCCCACAUCUGUUUCCCUACACAACUCAGACCCCCGGGCCUGAAAGAUGGUGACUGCAAUGAAAGAGGUUUGUUAACGGCUAAGAAGUCCAGGAUGCAAGAUUUUGCCAUUGUGAUGACUGUAGCCUUUCUUGGCUAUUCAGAAGGAUCCUCAAUCUUUUGCAAGUCCUCAGGUUUAAAGGACUUAAAUGUGGGAGUCAGGAGAUUCUGAGUGUCAGGAGAUAGAGGAACAUUCAGGAGUCCAGUGUGUGAAGGAAGGUCCUUGACAUUUGUGAAAAACCAAACACCAUUUAUGUGACAAUCAGAACACUUUCAUGAAAGGGAGUGUGUUCUGACCAUGUGGGUUUCCCACGUGUGUAAGUUGUGGGAAAACAGGCAUUUUCUGAGUGAAAAUCAGGACCAACCGAGACUGCCAACCUUAGAUGUUCAUAGUAACCAGGCUCCUGCCAGAGGAGAAAUUGACGCAAAGAACAGUGCCAGCUGCUCCACACACAUUAAUUCCUCAGCCUCCCCAGUUAUCCUAUGUGCAGCCAGAUGCCACACCUGGAUGAGGGAGAAUGCCAGAGGCUUGGGAGGGCAGAGGGGAAUAGCACAGGGGCUUGCAUUCCGCAGGUGCUGGGGUCACUGUGCUGGCCCUGGAUGGCUCACCUCUGGACUUGUUAAUAAGUGAGAAAAAAAAUAAAAUCCAUUCAGCUAAGCCACUUAAUUGGGUCUCUGCUUCACGCAGCUGAAUGCAGUGCUAACAGAUUCCUGUGCAGGGACCUGUGCCCUGUUAUUUUACUCUGUCCUCACGGCUCUCCUCAAGGGUCACAUUCUGAGCCCCAUUUGACGGAUGAGGAAACUGAAGCAAGGUCCCCUCCUUGCUGUCCUAUAGGUAGUAAGUGGAAGAGGCGGCAUUUGAACUCAGAGCUGUCUUAUUCCAAAUGCUGCACUCUCCCCCUACCUCCCCCACCCUCUGCCACACACCAAUUCUCACUGUCUUACUCUGUUUGGACUGCUAGAACUAAGGACCAUAGAAUGGGUGUCUUAAAAACAACAAUUUAUUUCUCACUGUUCUGGAGGCUGGGAAGUCCAAGGUCAAAGUGCUGUGAAUUUAGUAUCUGGCGAGGGCCCACUUCCUUGUUCACAGAUGGUGCCUUCUUGCUGUGGCCCACAAGGUGGAAAGGCAGAGGGAGCCCUGGAGGUAGGAGGCAGAACUCUACUCUGGAGGUGUGGCUUAGAUGCUGGACCAAAUUGAGGACUAGCUAAAACAGGUCUGGGGCAGGAGCACCUGCCCCCAUGACAAGUCACACCCACCCGUGGGCCAUGUCAGUUUGCCAUUGCCAUGGCAACACCCAGAAGUAACCGCCCCUUUCCAUGGCAACCACCCACCAGCAAUCUGGAAGUUACUACCCUCAUUCUAGGAAUUGCCCCUGCAUAAACUGCCAGUUAAUUUGCAUAUAAUUAAAAGUGAGUAUAAAUGUGAGUGAGUGCAGAACUGCCUCUGAGCUGCUGCUCUGGGCACACUGCCUCUGGGGUAGCCCUGGGCACACUGCCUCUGGGGUAGCCCUGCUCCACAAGGAGCAGCACCUCUGCUGCUGCCGUGCACUGCCGCUUCAAUACAAGUUGCUAACACCACCUGCUUCUCCUUGAAUUUUUCCUAGGCAAAGCCAAGAACCCUCCCAGGCUAAGUCCCAGUUUGGGGGCUUGCCUGUCUUGCAUCACUCUGGUACCUUUUUAUUCUGUUUUCUUUUUCAUUUUAAAAUACAAAUUAA
rnacentral:lncRNA from 1 species